UACGAAGGGUGCAAGCGUUAAUCGGAAUUACUGGGCGUAAAGCGUGCGCAGGCGGUUUUGUAAGUUUGUCGUGAAAGCCCCGGGCUCAACCUGGGAAUUGCGAUGAAGACUGCAAGGCUUGAAUCUGGCAGAGGGGGGUAGAAUUCCACGUGUAGCAGUGAAAUGCGUAGAGAUGUGGAGGAACACCGAUGGCGAAGGCAGCCCCCUGGGUCAAGAUUGACGCUCAUGCACGAAAGCGUGGGGAGCAAACAGG
rnacentral:rRNA from 1 species